CUUUGUGAAUGGCCCCUAAUGGAGGCAAAUAAAUAGAAUUGAAAGAUUUAGUUUCAUUUUCUUGCUCCAAUAAGUGUAAACGUUUCCAAAGUUAAUGACCAUGCAUCUUCUACGUUGCAACAUUUACUAAAACCCACCUAUUAAAACCACACUCACCUGUACAAGUUUGAAUGGUAGCAUCACCAAAGAACUCAGGUUUACAAAACUCGCAGUUGCUGCCAGUUGAAUUAUUCUGGCAAUAUGCUGAACAAUUUCCUGUCGUUCGGUUACAUGUGUCGGAAUUACUGCUAC
rnacentral:lncRNA from 1 species